rnacentral:rRNA from 1 species
GUGUCAGCAGCCGCGGUAACACGUAGGAUCCAAGCGUUAUCCGGAUUUACUGGGCGUAAAGCGUGUGCAGGUGGUUUGUUAAGUUGGGUGUUAAAUCUCUGGGCUCAACCCGGAGGUGUCGCUCAAAACUAACAGACUGGAGGACGGUAGAGGAAGGUGGAAUUCCGGGUGUAGUGGUGAAAUGCGUAGAUAUCCGGAGGAACACCAGUGGCGAAGGCGACCUUCUGGACCGCUCCUGACACUCAUACACGAAAGCUAGGGGAGCAAACGGGAUUAGAUACCCCCGUAGUCC